CUCCCAGUCCAAUUCCAGUCCCUCCCAGUCCUUCUCAAUCCCAUUUCAUUCCAUCCCAGUACAUCCCAGUUCCUCCCAGUACAUCCCAGUCCCUCCCAGUCCCUCCCAAUUCCUUCCCAGUCCCUUUCCAGUCCAUCCCAGUCCCUCCCAGUCUCCUCCCAGUACAUCCAAGUCCCUCCCAGUCCCCCCAAUUCCCUCCCAGUCCCUUUCCAGUGCCUCCCAGUCCAAUUCCAGUCACUCCCAGUCCUUCUCAAUCCCAUUUCAUUCCAUCCCAGUCCCUCCCAGUCCUUUCCAGUCCCUCCCAGUCCCUCCCAGUCCUUUCCAGUCCCUCCCAGUCCUUUCCAGUCCCUCCCAGUCCCUUUCCAGUUCCCUCCCAGUCCAAUUCCAGUCCUUCCCAGUCCUUCUCAAUCCCAUUUCAUUCCAUCCCAGUCCCUCCCAGUCUCCUCCCAGUACAUCCUAGUAACUCCCAGUCCCUCCCAAUUCCCUCCCAGUCCAAUUCCAGUCCCUCCCAGUCCUUCUCAAUCCCAUUUCAUUCCAUCCCAGUUCCUCCCAGUCUCCUCCCAGUACAUCCCAGUCCAAUUCAAGCCUUUCCCAGUGCAACCUCAUCCUCUCCCAGUCCCUCCCAGUCCCAUUUCAUUCCCUCCCAGUCCAUCCCAGUCCAAUUCCAGUCCUUCCCAUCCCCUCCCAGUCCAUCCCAGUGCUCCCAGUUGUAACCAGUCUCCCUUUGCAGCACCUCCAUAUCUCUGGAUGAGGAGAAGAGCGCGGCGGCGGUGGCGGCCGUUUGCUCCUACCUGAGGCUGCAGGGGGUGAAGCCCAAGGGGGGCAGUGGAGACGCCAAGAAACCCAAAGGCCACUUCUUCCGGAAGAAGGUAAUUAAGCACCGCCCUCGUUAGCUCGUUAAUUAGUGAAUUACUUAAUUAGUCAGCCGCAGUCCCGUGAAAUAACCCCCAUUUGUUUAUUGGGGGGGGGGUGGAAAAUGAACCCCUUUUGGGGGGUGUAGGGGUGCCCCCGUGCUUUUACUAAUUAAUUAGCGGUGUAAUUAGUGGUUAAUUAGUGAUUAAUAACAGCUUCAUUAGUGAUCUAUACCCCCCCCCCAUACACACGCUUAGUAACCCCAAUUAGCUCUUUUCGGGGGGAAAAUUGAGCCCCUUAAUGAGUCCGUAGCGCCCCCUCCCGCUCUUCCUAAUUAACUAAUUGCGUCAUUAAUGAUUAAUUAGGGAUUAAUAAUCACUUCGUUAACGAGCCGUGGUGUUUCCUGUACCAAAUGACCCCAUUCAGCCUUCCUGAACCCCUCCUUUGGGGUACAGCGGGGCGCCCCGUUGUUCCUAAUUAACGAGCGGUGUAAUUAACGGUUAAUUAGCGCUCAUUAAGCGGUUCGUUAGCGGUUCAUUAACGACUCGCUGCGCUGUUUCCUACAUUUAAUUACCCAACUCAAUGGUUUUCAAGAGGAAAGAACCCAUCUAUUAGGGAAAAGCGCUGCCCUCCGCUCUUACUAAUUAUCUAAGGGCGUAAUUAGUGAUUAAUUAGCAAUUAAUGGGUGGUUUAUUAAUGAGUUCCUGCAUCAAACAAACCCAACUCGCUGAUUCUGGGUGAAGAAUAAACCUCCCUGUUUGCUGGACGGCUGCUGUUGA
ensembl:lncRNA